rnacentral:rRNA from 1 species
GAUGAACGCUGGCGGCGUGCCUAAUACAUGCAAGUCGAGCGAACAGACGAGGAGCUUGCUCCUCUGACGUUAGCGGCGGACGGGUGAGUAACACGUGGAUAACCUACCUAUAAGACUGGGAUAACUUCGGGAAACCGGAGCUAAUACCGGAUAAUAUAUUGAACCGCAUGGUUCAAUAGUGAAAGACGGUUUUGCUGUCACUUAUAGAUGGAUCCGCGCCGCUUUAGCUAGUUGGUAAGGUAACGGCUUAUCAAGGCAACGAUGCGUAGCCGACGUGAGAGGGUGAUCGGCCACACUGGAACGGGGACGCGGUCCAGACUCCUACGGGAGGCAGCAGUAGGGAAUCUUCCGCAAUGGGCGAAAGCCUGACGGAGCAACGCGGCGUGAGUGAUGAAGGUCUUCGGAUCGUAAAACUCUGUUAUUAGGGAAGAACAAAUGUGUAAGUAACUAUGCACGUCUUGACGGUACCUAAUCAGAAAGCCACGGCUAACUACGUG